CAGCAGCCACGGUAAUACGAAGGGUGCAAGCGUUAAUCGGAAUUACUGGGCGUAAAGCGUGCGUAGGCGGUUUGUUAAGUCUGUUGUGAAAUCCCCGGGCUCAACCUGGGAAUGGCAAUGGAUACUGGCAAGCUAGAGUGUGUCAGAGGAUGGUGGAAUUCCCGGUGUAGCGGUGAAAUGCGUAGAGAUCGGGAGGAACAUCAGUGGCGAAGGCGGCCAUCUGGGACAACACUGACGCUGAGGCACGAAAGCGUGGGGAGCAAACAGGAUUAGAUACCCCCGUAGUCCCUGUCUCUUAUAC
rnacentral:rRNA from 1 species